CUCUCCUGGCGCGGUGCCCUCCGCCUCACGGCUCGGCCCAGCCGUGCUUUGUCUCUCAUCGCCGCGGCUGAGGUGAAGUUGAUGCAGACUGUGCGUUCGGGAGGAACAAAAGCUUCUCCUUUCGUUAAUAACCGCUCCAUGAGAGAACUUCCAUCUUCCGCGCGCUGUGGAGCAGCAAGGUUGUUGACACAUGUGGACCAACAGUGACAUCCUUCUUCAGCAAUGCUGUCUUUACUCCCUCCUGCAUUCAGAAGCAUCUAGAGAGAUUUCUUGCCAAAGGUAGGUUCUGGCAGUUCAGCUGCAUGGCUGUUCUUUUCCUUCUGUGCUAGAAAAAAGCAUGUAGAUGUUACUAGGGAGAAUGGUAAUGAGUCUCGUGGAGACUAGAGUGCUGCUGCUGAGAGAAGGGAUCAACCUUAGCUUGGGUUGCCUGGAAUAGACUCAGGGGAAAGGUGAGUGAAGUGGAGUCUGGAGGAAUGGCCUGUAGGUUGCCUUAGAGAAGGGUUUGGCAGUCACAGAACGUGGUUGGCUUAUAUUGCAUUGAUGUGGAUUGGUAAUAGAGCUCUUCUUAAAGAAAACUCAUGCUCCACACCUAUUUGUGCUCGGUCAGUGUUCUCAUUUAUUUGAAAUAAUUCAAUUAAAUCAAAAGGGGAAAUGAAAUGGCCAUGCAGGAUGUGUGAUUAACAUACAUUUUGUGUUUAAAUCUUUUGUGGGUCUCACCCCUUCCUCCCCCCCCAAAAAAAAGUGUUUGGUCUGAAAUAAACAAAUGUGCACCUCCUGGUACUGCCAUGACUUUGCUGUUAGCUUCUACCUCUUAUUUUCCUCUCUGAAGUCCUAACUUACUUGACGUUUUCAAGAGAAUUGAGAUGCAAAACUUCCACAGCAAAAAGCGAAGAAGCGUAGAUGGGAACAGAGCACCCUGUGGGCUUUUUAACAAGCAAAUCUUAAGAGAUUUGGUGCUUCUUGUGAUUUUUGUGCACCCUUGUGCUCUAACUUGUAGAGUGUGGCUUGUGGGUUAGCUGGGUGCCUUUCCAUCUCUACUGAUCUGCUUUUGUGUGAGUUCUAGAAAUAUGUCUCACAGUCUGUACACAGAAUUACUGGCUGAACUGGAAUUUUUCAGCAGAUGGAAUGUCAGCCUUUACCUGAAUGAGUAGUUUUGCAUCUUCUUGUUUUCCUCCAGUGCAUUCCUUGCCACUUAAUUUUUUUCCCCUCUGUCGGAAGGGGUGUUUUUAACAAUUAGGUCCACCAAACGUUUUACUUUGUGUUGACAUGGUGAUACAGCAAUAUUGUUGUUUUUUUGCUGCUGGAUGCUGAGACUCAGAAUUGCAGGCUUUUAGUUUAAGAGCUAUGGACUGCUGCAAAGACCAGAGAAAGGGUAAAUGAGUUUUGGUCUGAGCUGUUUUUGUGUCAGACUAAAAUGUAUUUUCAGUUCCUCUGGACUGGUACUCAAGUCGCAGCAGUUAUACUGAAACCACAACGACACCAGCUUUGUAUUGACAUGCAAAGCCAGAAGCCCUUGAAAACUAAGGGUUAUUUGACUACCUUAAUUAUCUCUUGUCAGCAAAUUGACUCCUGAUGAAUUAAUUGCCAUUCCCUGUGCCGAUUCCCUUCCUGAAGCCUCUCUUCAGCAUCGGCAGAGCCCUUGGCCAGCUCAGGCAGACUGCUCGCCACACUGCAGCCCAUCCCUCCCUGGGUGGGAUACCCGAAUUUCUCCUGAGAGCCCAGCAGCUUCUGUCCUGCACACUGCAGCUCUGGCUGAGCUGUGCACAGCUUUCUGUGGGAGCAGUCGCUGCUGUCAGCAACUUUACCAGAGGAGUUGCUGCUGCUGUAAGAAUUUGUGCUCCUGGGCUGAGGGAGGACAUCAUGUCUCAAAAGCUGCAUCUCCCUUCCCAUAGAUCCCUCGAAGUCCCCUCACUCCCCUGUAGGCUGUUGUAAAGGAGGGAGUGUUUGAGUUAGUGGUAGCAGCAAAGAAGCGCUGUCCUUAGCCAUGUUUAGGGUCUGCUUUGUUUUGAGGCUGUGGGACUGCUCUUUUUGCUUGCCUGAAGGACUUGGCGCUCCUCAGGGCUGACAUUCCUCUCUGUAAGAGGUGCCUGAGUGGUCAUUAAGAGCCUGAGCAGGUGAGGGGAAACUGCCUUGGUAUUGUGUUUGCAGCAAAAUGAAUCUGUGCAGCUUGCGUCACUGGAGAGCAAGUAAUGUCCCUGGAUUGGCAGGUAAGGAACAUAGGGAGAAAAAUGGCUUUUAAACCUUGUCAGGGAAUGCAGCAUUCAUGAAAACAAAGGGCUGAAUAACAAUGUCCAGAGCACAGGAAAGUGCUGUAGGCACUGAGUAAUUUCCUCCUAUGUCCUGUCAGCAUCCCUAUGCAUCAGGACCUCUGAGCAGAGGAAUAAUGAGGAGAGGAGGGUCCUCUGGAAGUUGUACCUGGAGUAUUCUGUAUGGGAUUGCUUUGCAAUCUAGGAAAGUGUAUUGAAUCCCUGGCACAAGCAGAAAAGCAGAGCAGACACUGAGGGGUGCAUAUGUAAGUGCCUGUGAUGCUUGAGCACAGCUGUGGGACCACAGCAAGAAGUCAGCUUGUAGGAGCAGUGUGGGGGGGAGGGGGAGGUGGAUGAUGGUGAUGCAGAUGAUGGCGGUGGCCCCUCUGAAUUGUGAAUGUACUGUCAAAUGGAAUCCCAGGUUAGCUUUGCAUUUGGCUCCUUGAUGCCUUGCUGGCAGCACCUGCUCUCAAGCCUGUGUAGCACUGUGCUCUAACACUUAGGUACAAUUCUGCCCAGGUUACGUAACACGGUGAACUUUCUCUUUCCAGAGCCUUGUGUCCUUCUAUGUGGACGCAGACUAGGGCUGAAUUUUGUUUUUUUGUGCUCUUUGCUUACCAGGGGACUUGUCCCAUAACCUGUGAUGUGAGAAUAGUACCUAUUGUGAGGGGUGAGUUUAAUGAAACUGACUGAAUUCAGCACCAUCUAUUGUUAUGUUGGAUCGUUCACAGAGCACUCUGCAAAGCACCGUGCAGUGAGUUAGAUCAAGGUGAUAACACUUCAGAGAGGUGGGUGAUGGCUGCUGUUGUACCAACAAGGAGGGCAGCCCUGCUAGGCAGCCUGACAGCACAGCUGCGGUGUUCCCACACCUGUGUGUAGCAGCAUGGGUUAGAGUGGCACUUGUUAUGGGGCCAGGCAGUUUGAUGUUAGGAAAUGGCUAGUGCGUGGAUGGACGGGUUUUUCUCAUGGUCCUUUUCUUCCUUUUUAUAAUAGAAACACUAGAUGAGUAGUGGAGGAACUGUUUGGACAUAUGUAUUUAACUGGGAGGAAAGAGCUGUGACGCUAACCACAAACUGACGGUUUCCUGCUGCAAGUAACUUUCUAUAGAUCUAAACCUCAUUCGUUGUGUCUGUGCUGCUGUUUAAAUAGCUGGGGAAGAUUCGACUGCUUCUAGGCUGCUUAUUUUUGACAGUCUUUGUUGUAGCAGUUUGGGGAUGGUGGCAUGAAGACAGAUCAUUACAGAUCUAAUAAAAAUUCAGGACUGGUGGAGUCCAGAAGGCUUCUGGAUCUUAUGAUCUUGUAUAAUGUAGAAGUUGAGAAGCAAAGCCAUUAAACACAUGGCAGAUUGAUUUUUGUAAUUACAUUUGCAUGUGUAGAGCUCUGUUUAUUUCAGGGGAGAUGGGAUGUAAUUGCAUGAACCUACCUGUGUCACUGAGACCUCUUCACCCACCACUGCAUACUUUUAAUUCUCCUUCCCUUCCCCGUCCUGCCUCCCUCUGAUGUGUUAAAUAUCACAGCUGCAAAAACGAGAGCACGUUUCUGCCUGCCCUUCCCUUUGCAGCUGGAAGGCUUGGACAGAUUCUUCCCUUGUGGUUUGUGAUACUGUAAAUAAAGGCUUGGGAGGUCACACGUUUUCCAUCUCAAGUUAUUUUGAUUCCAGCGCUGGAAUGGG
ensembl:lncRNA